rnacentral:rRNA from 1 species
UGCAGUCGCACGAGAAAGGGACUUCGGUCCUGAGUACAGUGGCGCACGGGUGAGUAACACGUGAAUCAUCUACCUUCGAGUGGGGAAUAACUGAGAGAAAUCUUAGCUAAUACCGCAUAAUACCUACGGGUCAAAGCAGCAAUGCGCUUGAAGAGGAGUUCGCGGCAGAUUAGUUAGUUGGCGGGGUAAUGGCCCACCAAGACGAUGAUCUGUAUCCGGCCUGAGAGGGCGCACGGACACACUGGAACUGAAACACGGUCCAGACUCCUACGGGAGGCAGCAGUGGGGAAUUUUGCGCAAUGGGGGAAACCCUGACGCAGCAACGCCGCGUGGAGGAUGAAAUAUCUUGGUAUGUAAACUCCUUUCGAUGGGGAAGAUAAUGACGGUACCCAUAGAAGAAGCCCCGGCUAACUUCGUGCCAGCAGCCGCGGUAAUACGAGGGGGGCAAGCGUUGUUCGGAAUUAUUGGGCGUAAAGGGUGCGUAGGCGGUUUGACAAGUCUUAUGUGAAAUCUUCGGGUUCAACCCGAAGUCUGCAUGGGAAACUGUCGGGCUUGAGUAUGGGAGAGGUGAGUGGAAUUUCCGGUGUAGCGGUGAAAUGCGUAGAUAUCGGAAGGAACACCUGUGGCGAAAGCGGCUCACUGGACCAUAACUGACGCUGAUGCACGAAAGCUAGGGGAGCAAACAGGAUUAGAUACCCUGGUAGUCCUAGCCCUAAACGAUGAUUGUUUGAUGUGGGGGGUACCCAAUCCUCCCGUGUCGAAGCUAACGCGAUAAACAAUCCGCCUGGGGAGUACGGUCGCAAGGCUGAAACUCAAAGGAAUGACGGGGCCGCACAGCGGGUGGAGCAUGUGGUUUAAUUCGACGCACCGCGAAGAACCUACUGGGCUCGAAUGUACAGGAAUCCGGUAGAAAUAUCGGCGUCUCGCAA